UGGCGGCAGGCCUAACACAUGCAAGUCGAGCGGAAACGAGUUAACUGAACCUUCGGGGAACGUUAACGGCGUCGAGCGGCGACGGGUGAGUAAUGCCUGGGAAAUUGCCCUGAUGUGGGGGAUAACCAUUGGAAACGAUGGCUAAUACCGCAUAAUAGCUUCGGCUCAAAGAGGGGGACCUUCGGGCCUCUCGCGUCAGGAUAUGCCCAGGUGGGAUUAGCUAGUUGGUGAGGUAAGGGCUCACCAAGGCGACGAUCCCUAGCUGGUCUGAGAGGAUGAUCAGCCACACUGGAACUGAGACACGGUCCAGACUCCUACGGGAGGCAGCAGUGGGGAAUAUUGCACAAUGGGCGCAAGCCUGAUGCAGCCAUGCCGCGUGUAUGAAGAAGGCCUUCGGGUUGUAAAGUACUUUCAGCAGUGAGGAAGGCGGGUACGUUAAUAGCGUAUUCGUUUGACGUUAGCUGCAGAAGAAGCACCGGCUAACUCCGUG
rnacentral:rRNA from 1 species